rnacentral:rRNA from 1 species
UACAGAGGGUGCAAGCGUUAAUCGGAAUUACUGGGCGUAAAGCGUGCGUAGACGGUUGCGUAAGUCAGAUGUGAAAGCCCCGGGCUCAACCUGGGAAUUGCAUUUGAGACUGCGUAGCUAGGGUGCGGAAGAGGGAUGCGGAAUUCCAGGUGUAGCGGUGAAAUGCGUAGAUAUCUGGAGGAACACCGGUGGCGAAGGCGGCAUCCUGGACCAACACUGACGCUGAGUGAGCGAAAGCCAGGGGAGCAAACGGG